UAGAGGAAGUAAAAGUCGUAACAAGGUCUCCGUAGGUGAACCUGCGGAGGGAUCAUUACACAAAUAUGAAGGCGGGCUGGAACCUCUCGGGGUUACAGCCUUGCUGAAUUAUUCACCCUUGUCUUUUGCGUACUUCUUGUUUCCUUGGUGGGUUCGCCCACCACUAGGACAAACAUAAACCUUUUGUAAUUGCAAUCAGCGUCAGUAACAAAUUAAUAAUUACAACUUUCAACAACGGAUCUCUUGGUUCUGGCAUCGAUGAAGAACGCAGCGAAAUGCGAUAAGUAGUGUGAAUUGCAGAAUUCAGUGAAUCAUCGAAUCUUUGAACGCACAUUGCGCCCUUUGGUAUUCCAAAGGGCAUGCCUGUUCGAGCGUCAUUUGUACCCUCAAGCUUUGCUUGGUGUUGGGCGUCUUGUCUCUAGCUUUGCUGGAGACUCGCCUUAAAGUAAUUGGCAGCCGGCCUACUGGUUUCGGAGCGCAGCACAAGUCGCACUCUCUAUCAGCAAAGGUCUAGCAUCCAUUAAGCCUUUUUUUCAACUUUUGACCUCGGAUCAGGUAGGGAUACCCGCUGAACUUAAGCAUAUCAAUAAGCGGAGGAA
rnacentral:rRNA from 1 species